rnacentral:rRNA from 1 species
UACGUAGGGUGCGAGCGUUGUCCGGAAUUACUGGGCGUAAAGAGCUCGUAGGUGGUUUGUCGCGUUGUUCGUGAAAACUCACAGCUCAACUGUGGGCGUGCGGGCGAUACGGGCAGACUGGAGUACUGCAGGGGAGACUGGAAUUCCUGGUGUAGCGGUGGAAUGCGUAGAGAUCGGAAAGAACACCAACGGCGAAAGCAACUCUGCUGGGCCGACACUGACACUGAGAGACGAAAGCUAGGGGGAGCGAAUGGG